CUGCAACUGACAUAAUUUUCUUGGCAGAAACAUACACUCUUUCAGUUACUCCCUCCACUCUAGAAAGAGUUAAAAUAACUCAAUUGCCGACUUUCGCAAUAAGUCACGCCUCUCACGUCUUGCCUUCCUAGGGUCUACCAAAGCCUAGGGUUUUCUAGGUCCCAACGACCUAAUUCUAAGCUCCGGUACCAACUUAAUCUGUUACGUCUCAGAUUACCACAUUUUUCCGGUCACGCCAACAGACCUGCCGUAUACAUAGAAAUUUUUCGUGUAUAUGAAGCAAUAGCUGUACCUGUAAAU
rnacentral:lncRNA from 1 species